rnacentral:misc_RNA from 1 species
GAUGAAGAACGUAGCGAAAUGCGAUACGUAAUGUGAAUUGCAGAAUUCAGUGAAUCAUCGAAUCUUUGAACGCAUAUUGCGCUCUCUGGUAUUCCGGAGAGCAUGCUUGUUUGAGUAUCAGUAAACACCUCAACUUCCAUAUCUUUUUUGAAAUGGGAGUUGGACUUGAGUGAUCCCAACGCUUUUCCUCACCGAAAAGUGGCGGGUUACUUGAAAUGCAGGUGCAGCUGGACUUUUCUCUGAGCUAUAAGCAUAUCUAUUUAGUCUGCCUAAAAAACAGAUUAUUACCUUUGCUGCAGCUAACAUAAAGGAAAUUAGUUCUUGUGCUGACUGAUGCAGGAUUCACAAAGACAGGCUUCGGCCGACUUUGUAAACUCGAUCUCAAAUCAAGUAAGACUACCCGCUGAACUUAAGCAUAUCAAUAAGCGGAGGA